rnacentral:rRNA from 1 species
UGCGUAGGCGGCGGCAUAAGUCAGAAGUGAAAGUUGGCAGCUUAACUGCAAAAUUGCUUUUGAUACUGUGUUGCUUGAAUCACGUUGAGGCUGGCGGAAUGUGGCAUGUAGCUGUGAAAUGCUUAGAUAUGCCAUAGAACACCAAUUGCGAAGGCAGCUGGCUAGACGUGUAUUGACGCUGAGGCACGAAAGCGUGGGGAGCGAACAGGAUUAGAUACCCUGGUAGUC